AUGGCUCAGGAUGAACGCUAGCUACAGGCUUAACACAUGCAAGUCGAGGGGCAGCAUUGGAGUAGCAAUACUCAGAUGGCGACCGGCGCACGGGUGAGUAACACGUAUCCAACCUGCCGCUUACUCGGGGAUAGCCUUUCGAAAGAAAGAUUAAUACCCGAUGGUAUAAAGAGUUCGCAUGUUCUCUUUAUUAAAGAAUUUCGGUAAGCGAUGGGGAUGCGUUCCAUUAGAUAGUUGGCGGGGUAACGGCCCACCAAGUCUACGAUGGAUAGGGGUUCUGAGAGGAAGGUCCCCCACAUUGGAACUGAGACACGGUCCAAACUCCUACGGGAGGCAGCAGUGAGGAAUAUUGGUCAAUGGACGAGAGUCUGAACCAGCCAAAAGUAGCGUGAAGGAUGACUGCCCUAUGGGUUGUAAACUUCUUUUAUAAGGGAAUAAAGUGAGGGACGUGUCCCUUUUUGUAUGUACCUUAUGAAUAAGGAUCGGCUAACUCCGUGCCAGCAGCGGC
rnacentral:rRNA from 1 species